CCCUCCCACUCUCUCGCUCGCUCAGCUCAGCCACUCGCUCGCUGGCUCCUGAACCCCUAGCUCACCGCCGCCGGUGCCUCUCCAUCGCAUGCGUCGCCGGCGCCUCUACCCUGCACGCAGCACCUCCGCCUCUCCCUCUCGCGUCGUUGCCGCCUUUCCAUGUUGCCAUAUGUCGUCGCCUCUCCCUCUUCAAGAUUUAAUUUUUACUCCAGCGGCUGGACCUGAAGUGCAACUGCUCCACCUUCCUCAGGGUGGAGGGGAUCUCCGAUGACUGGAUCUGAAGCGCGGCUGCUCCACCUUCCUCAUGGUGGCAGGGAUCUCCGGCUCGCUGCGCAGGGGAAGGGCCCGACCGCCGGCGGCCGCUGCGGGCACAAGGGGAACUGCGUUUGCGACAUUGUCAGCGUCGGUGUCCCAGGGACAGGGCACGGCGGCACGCAUUGUGGGCCCAUGCACAGGCACACCGUGCUGUUGCUGCCGUCCGCCAGCGCGCCGCUGGCCGACAGGAGCAGCCACACCCACGCGACCACGACAAGCAGAACCGUCGGCGGGUUCGUGUAGUCCCGCGAGGACCGCGCCGUGUGGGAUGCCGAGACGAGUUGCCGGAGAAGGAGUCUUCGACUACCUCACGUCCGCCGCUGGCCUGCACAUCAAUAGGAGGAGACUGAGCACCGUGUGGUGUUGGCGCCGAUUGAAAAUCACCAGCGAGUCCUACUUCAACUGCGAUGCAAUGUGGAGUGAAGUUGAGGUUUGGGAGAUCCAUUUUCUCCUAAAGAUAUGAAUAUGUAAGAUGAAGUAGAAGUAGAAGUACAAGAAGAAGAACAUAUAAAUUCAGUCUGUUUACUAUCAAUUGGUGUCUGUUUACUGUCAAAGCAAGAAUGACAAUUCAAAGGGACAUCAUGCUGAGGUGUACAAAGGACAGCUUGCUAAUGGAUAGUUUGUGGCAAUUCAAGCUUACUGUAUCCUGAAAUUCAAGCUUACUGUAUCCUUAUUUAACUGGAGUACAAUGUUGUAGCUUCACUUGUCUUCCAGUCAAAUACUCAUGUACUCCAGCUUUAACUGGAGUAGACCCCAACUUAAUCAUAAUCAAUUGUUGCCUGUGGUGCUAUAUUAGUUCCACCAAGUUGAUGGUUUCGUUAAGUUGCAUGUAUCCCGAAUUCAAGUAAAUUAAGUUGCCUGAACCAAGUUGAGUAUUUAACUUUUUUUUGAAAAGGGGGAUAACCCCCGGCCUCUGCAUCAGAAUGUUGCACGGGAAGCCGAGGCGGGUAAGCACCGCUGGUGGCUCUGCUGGGGCCGCCUUGGCGAUGCCUAUGCCAAGACCUUCUACCUCGUGUGAAAGAAAGAGAACUCGAGCCAAGGUGAUGGUGAUGGAAAUGAAUGAAAGAAAGAGAAGCUGGAGUGCCUACCACAAAGAUGAGCAGAAGCAGGGGAGUUCGCUGGGAUGGAGGCGCUGGUGGCCGUGGAGGAGGUGGGGGCGGAGGAGGAGUUGAGCGCUGGCCAGGGCUAGGCGGGGCAGGAGGUGAGCGCUGGCCUGGAGGAGCCCGAAAGAGAAGCAGGGGCGAUGAGGGGCUUGGCAGAGGGCCAAAGAGGAGCGCUGCCCUGGAGGAGCCCGGCGGAGGGGCAAAGAGGAGUGCUGGCCUGGAGGAGCCCAGCUAAGGGGCGCUGGCCUGAAGGAGCCUGACAAAGGGGCCUGGAGCAACCCUGCCUCGCGG